CCCAGCACAGGAAGGACAUGGAAUUGUUGGGGUGGUCCAGAGGGGGCCAUGAAGAUGAUCAGGGAACUCUAGCACCUCAUGUAUGAGGACAGGCUGAGAGAAUUGGGGUUACUCAGCCUGGGGAAGAGAUGGCUCCAGGGGCACAUUGUUGUGGCUUUUUUUCGGCAAUUGCAGGGAGCUGAUAAGAAAGAUGGGGACAGACUUUUUAGUAGGCCCUGUUGUGAUAGGACAAGGGAUAAUGGUUAAAAGGUAAAGGGUAGACGUAAACUAGACAUGGAAGUUAUUUACAGUGGGGCUAGUGCAAUGUUGGAACAGGUUGCCCAGAAUUGGUAAUUGCUUCAUUCCUGUAAGCAUUCAAUGUCAGGUUGGAUGAGGCUCUGAACAACCUGAUCUAGUUGAAGGAGUACUCUGCUUAUUGCAAGGUAUUCGACUAGAUGAUCUUUAAAGUAGGCUGCAGCUUGAAUAAAAUAAGAAAAAAGUUACAGGGCUGUGCUUCCUGCGCUGGUGCACUUAAGCUCAGGAUGCUGUUGCUGGAAACUGCAGAGCUUUGUCUGUUGAAGUGAGAUGUCUUGGAGUCAGCUGGAGGAUCCUCCUUCCUCCACAGAAAAUAAGAGACCCCUCUGUCUGAAUCUUGGUGCUGAAUAGGCUGGCUGGAUUAGUGUUCUCCUGGAUAUCUUUUUCUUACAGUA